rnacentral:rRNA from 1 species
AUACGGAAGGUCCGGGCGUUAUCCGGAUUUAUUGGGUUUAAAGGGAGCGCAGGCGGAGAUGCAAGCGUGACGUCAAAUUUCGGGGCUCAACCCCGUCUCGCGUCGCGAACUGCGUCCCUUGGUUGCGGGAAGGGGAGGCGGAACUCGUGGGGUAGCGGUGAAAUGCAUAGAUAUCACGAAGAACUCCGAUCGCGAAGGCAGCCUUCCGGCCCGUCAACGACGCUCAUGCUCGAAGGUGCGGGUAUCAAACAGGAUUAGAUACCCUGGUAGUCCGCACAGUAAACGAUGGACACCCGCGGUUUGGCCUGUAUGGCUGAGCCGCCAAGCGAAAGCGUUAAGUGUCCCACCUGGGGAGUACGCCGGCAACGGUGAAACUCAAAUGAAUUGACGGGG